GGAGGGGUUCCCGAGUGGCCAAAGGGAGCAGACUGUAAAUCUGCCGGCGGAGCCUACGGAGGUUCGAAUCCUCCCCCCUCCACCA
rnacentral:tRNA from 3 species